rnacentral:lncRNA from 1 species
AUUGUUCCGUGCUGGCGGCCGAGCGCCAACCGCAGGACCGCGCCGCCGCCUCCGACGCAGUGAGCACUUCAUUAGUAACCCGAGCUUUCCGAGCUCAUCGAAGUCUCGGUCCCUCUGGGAAGGCUCCGGGCUCCCGCCACUCGCCGGCGGGCUGGCGGAGACGGUAGGGGCUGCAUUUCCCAGUCUCCAACCCAACUCUGGCCGCAGCUCCCACAGAAGGCGAAUAAGGAGACAAGGAAGACCGAGCUAGAGAGAGAUGUGACCCGCCUGAGAUCCUCUGCUCUUCCUUCUCUACCCUGCUGUUUGAGGAAAUGUAACAACUUAAACUGCCGCAAUAGGGCUUUUGUUUCUGGCCAGUGGGGAGCGCCGUGGACGAGCAGUGGGCAGAAAGAGAAUGAACUUGGUAUUUAUUCUAUUGGCCCUCUCCCGGUAAUGGUCCAAGUUAUGAGCAUCUACUGUCCUACAACUCUUAAAACAGGUGCUUGGAAAUGAUAAGAAUCGUGGUCUUUACCUUUAAGAAUGUCACUUUGGCAAGUCACUUCACCUCUCUGCAUAACUAAGUCAUUGAAUACUACAUAUGUCUUUAAUUAAAGUGUAUGUAGGAUGCUAAGGUGGCAGUCAACAUCUUUGUGAAUUUGAGCAAGGGGCCUCCACUUAGAACCCUCUUCUUCGCUCAAGUUCUGAACCAGCAAAAGAAACAAACAAACAAACAAGAACAUAAAUAAGCAAACGAGAGCCCAAAUAUCACCUUUAUCACUGAUAAAUGAUACAGUGUGUUGCUAUGUUUCCUAUUCUGGUCUGGAACUCCUGGUC